ensembl:snRNA U6 U6 spliceosomal RNA
AUGCUGGCUUCAGCAGCACAUGUGCUGAAACUGGAAUGACACAGAGAUUAGCAUGGCCCCUGCACAAGGAUGACACAAAUUCGUGAAGCUUUCCAUACUUUU